ACUGACAUACCGUCUCCUCAUCUCCCUCUCUCUCUCUCUCUCUGGCGUUGCCUUGGCAGCUCUCUCUGUCGUCGCCUUGGCUGUCUGUAUCCUCUACCGGACUGCCUCUUCUUUCGAUCAUCAAAGACUCUUUUCGUCCACCAUCUCCCUUUCUGUCUGUCGUUGUGAAAAGAGACUGUUUGUGUCCUCAUAUCUUGCUCUCUCGGGCUGCCUCGAGACUGUCUGUGUGUCGUUAUCUCUCGCCAAACAAAAGGCUGCUAUCAAACUCCUUGGAGAGUUCAGCUGAAUGUUCAGGAUUUUAAAAGGAAAAGCAAAGAUCGAUCAGUUGGCUUCGAAUCAGUCUGAUGUUCCCUUCGAAAGGUUGCAGCAAGCUCGGGUUUCAGAAGUUGAGUCAAUGAUACCGAAGGAUGGACUAGUUCUUUAUAAAGAAAGGGCAUGGAAUUGCUUCUUCGACAAUGUCUCUGUUUAAUAUAGAAGCUGCAGCAGUAGGAGCCCGACAGAGAAAAGCAAAGGAUAGUAUCGAAGCUGCAGGGAUAAGAGCUGUGUUUGCUCGGAACUUUGAGGGAGAUUUAGUUUGUGGAAUUAAGAGGCAGAAAGGUUGCAACAAGCUCGGGUUUCGGAAGUUGAGGCAAUGAUACCGAAGGAUGGACUAAUUCUUUAUAAAGAAAGGCUUGGAAUUGCUUCUUCGACAAUGACUCUGUUUGAUAUCGAAGCUGCAGCAGUAGGAGCUGUGUUUGCUCGGAACUUUGAGGGAGGUUUAUAGAUUGUGGAAUUAAGAGGCACAAGGUUUCAAGCAAGCUCGCGUUUCGGAAGUUGAGCCAAUGAUAAUGAAGGCUGGACUACUUGCUAAACAAAAGGCUUUGGUAUUGCUUCUUAGAGAGUGACUCUUUACAGUAGUCUGUCAGUGGCUGCAAAUCAAAUUCUUCGGAGGAUUCGGCUGAAUGUUCAGGAUUUAGAAGGAAGAGCAAAGGAUCAGUCCGUUGCCUCAGAAUCAGUCUGAAACCCGAGUUAAUUAGGCUACAACAGAAUCAGUCGGGUGUAUAAAAUAUGGAGUAUAUUAACAUAGAUCA